ACGAUGAAGAACGCAGCCAGCUGCGAGACUUGGUGUGAAUUGCAGGACACAUUGAGCACUGAUUUUUCGAACGCACAUUGCGGCCUCGGGUCCUACCCGGGGCCUCGCCUGUCUGAGGGUCGGAUGAGACUAUCUGAAGGGACUUCUGUCCCUACGUGGCCGCGUCGGAGCCCUAUGGGGUUGCCGUCGGCUUAAGUUUUCAUUGACUUCCCUUGGCGUGUGAUUUGCGGCCGUGGGAAUAGUGGAGCAUGAUGCUUCUGCGCUGCCAGCCGCGAAUUGCAGUCGAAGGGAGUUGUAGUCGUAGCAGACCUGUCGACCUCAGAUCAGACGAGAUGACCCGCUGAAUUUAAGCAUAUCAAUAAGCGGAGGAA
rnacentral:rRNA from 1 species